UUUUGCAAAAAGCGUAAAACACGCAUUUACAUAAAAACACACUUUUCGGUCAAACCAGUAAAACCACACUUUUUGGCUAAAACGGUAAAAACACUUUCCCGCAAAAAGCGUAAAACCGCACAAAAACCGAAAAACAUACUUUCCCGCCAAAACCGUAAAAACACACUUUGCCUCUAAAAUCGCCAAAAUGCAUUUUCCCGGCAAAAAAACACAAAACACAUGUUUCCGUAAAAACCACAAAAACGUAUUUUCCUGCCAAAACUGGAAAACACAUUUUCCCGCCAAAAACACAAAA
rnacentral:lncRNA from 1 species